CGCAACCGGCGCGACACGGGUCCGCUCGGCCUGGCCGCCGACGACGCCCGGCUCACGCUGGUCUUCUUCCUGGGCGGCGUCACAUUCGCAGAGGUGGCCGCGCUCCGCUUCCUCUCCGGCCAGGAGGACGCUCCCACCGAGUACGUGGUAGCCACGACCAAGAUGAUCAACGGUAAGGCGCUGAUCGCCUGUCUGUCGGAGCAGCUGACGCCGCCCAGCUGAGCGCCGCCGUCUGACCCCUUCCUGGCCGUAGCUGGUGCCCCUGCCUCCCGGCGGCGGUCCCCGCUCCCCAGGCGGGAGCGUCGGCCUCCGCCGGCUGCCGUUGUCCGGCCGGACGGGGCUACCUGUGUCGGCUGGCGGCAGGGACGCGGCGCGGGUCUGCCCGGCUCUGCGACGCUGCAACGGCUGUGCCUCGUAUCCGGCACGGCACCCUAUAUCAUGGGUAUGAUGAGCCUGAGUGAACCCAGGCUGAAAGCACAUGGUGCAUUUAGUUCACCAGUUCUCGAACAUUGAUACGCCGGGUACCACCGUAUUGGCCCACGAUACAUGUAUCUCGUGUGUACUCGCUUUGUUUAUCGCGUUUGAGUGUUGCAAUACUGUUUGAUCGAACGAAGUGUCAGUUUACCGAGCGGCUUGCUUCCGAGGACCAUAACCUGACCGGCAUCGCCUUACACCCUGCUAUGGUAAUGGUGAAGCCGUGUAGCUGCCGACGGAAGCGAAUCUGCUGACGUUCCUGAAAUACAGGCCGUCGCUUAAGGAUGCA